GACAGCAUGGUGUAGUGGUUUGAGCAUUGGACUAGGACUAUGGGCACCAGGGUUCAAAUCCUGGUCCUGUCA